GGCCGUGCCGGGGGAGCGGGAGCGGCCGGGCAGGUGCGGCUGCGAUGGCGCCGAGCGCGGCGGGGACAGAGUUGGCGAAGUCGGAGUGGGAGCGCUUCCACUACGAUUACGAGUCCCUGCGCCUCGGGGUCUCAUCGUGGCCGGGAUCUUCUUCGUGCUCGGGGUGCUCCUCAUCCUCAGUG